UACGGAGGGCGCGGGUGUUAUUCGUUUUGAUUGGGUGUAAAGGGUAUGUAGGCAGCUAGUGUAAUUCUUAACCUAAAGCAUGGAGUGUUCCUACAUGAUGGUUUUUUAAAGAUCUAGCUUGCGUUGAAGAGAGGUUGGGGCAAUUUCUUGUGUACCGCGGAGUAAAAUCCCUCGAUAUAAGAACGAACGCCAGCUUGCUGAUGCGCCUUUCUAGCUUCAACCGACGCUGAGGUACGGAAGCCUGGGGAGCAAACAGA
rnacentral:rRNA from 1 species